rnacentral:rRNA from 1 species
GAUGAACGCUGGCGGCGUGCUUAACACAUGCAAGUCGAACGAUGAAGCUCAGCUUGCUGGGUGGAUUAGUGGCGAACGGGUGAGUAACACGUGAGUAACCUGCCCUUAACUCUGGGAUAAGCCUGGGAAACUAGGUCUAUUACCGGAUAGGAGCGCCUACCGCAUGGUGGGUGUUGGAAAGAUUUAUCGGUUUUGGAUGGACUCGCGGCCUAUCAGCUUGUUGGUGAGGUAAUGGCUCACCAAGGCGACGACGGGUAGCCGGCCUGAGAGGGUGACCGGCCACACUGGGACUGAGACACGGCCCAGACUCCUACGGGAGGCAGCAGUGGGGAAUAUUGCACAAUGGGCGAAAGCCUGAUGCAGCGACGCCGCGUGAGGGAUGACGGCCUUCGGGUUGUAAACCUCUUUCAGUAGGGAAGAAGCGAAAGUGACGGUACCUGCAGAAGAAGCACCGGCUAACUACGUG